rnacentral:rRNA from 1 species
CUACGGGACGCACCAGUAAGGAAUAUUGCGCAAUGGAGGCAACUCUGACGCAGCCAUGCCGCGUGCAGGAAGAAGGCCUUAUGGGUCGUAAACUGCUUUUAUUUAGGAAUAAACCCCCGAACGUGUUCGGGGCUGAAGGUACUAAACGAAUAAGCACCGGCUAACUCCGUGCCAGCAGCCGCGGUAAUACGGAGGGUGCAAGCGUUAUCCGGAUUUAUUGGGUUUAAAGGGUGCGCAGGCGGGCUAUUAAGUCAGUGGUGAAAUCCCGGGGCUCAACUCCGGAACUGCCAUUGAUACUGAUAGUCUUGAGUUUGGUUGAAGUGGGCGGAAUGUAGCAUGUAGCGGUGAAAUGCAUAGAUAUGCUACAGAACACCAAUCGCGAAGGCAGCUCACUAAGUCAAAACUGACGCUCAUGCACGAAAGCGUGGGGAUCAAACAGGAUUAGAUACCCCGGUAGUC